UCAAAUUACAGUAUCAGCAUUUUCUUUAAUGCCUGUGUUGCCAACCUCCUGCUGUCAGUGUUAGAGCAGGUUUGAUAGUUAACACACACCACUGGAAGCUGGUGUUCCUGUGCUCGGCAUGAAUUUCCUCUGGGAGCUUGGACAUGUCUCCUAAUGACGGCCCCUGUUGUCCUGCCUGUAAAAGGAGUAGUGCUGCAGACAAGCAGAAAUUCAUUCAUAUUCUGUGAACUACUUAAGAGAUCCUCAAGAAAAAGAGUUCAUGCAAAUAGAUAUGCAUAUAAUCAGAUGCUCUUUCAGCUGAAAUGAUCCUAAAAAUGAGAAAUAAUAAAUCCUUGUGGCAAAUUUACAAGUAAUUAUGGAAACUGGUAACUGAGCAAAAUGGUGGAGCGAAAUAUGCCCAGUACAGUUGAGGUGGGCACAGGAUUUUGCUGCUUUUGGAAAUGCAAGGUACCUGGACCAAAAGGGGUGGGAUAAGAUGGGUCCCUGCAUAGUGGGGUUGUUGGUAAGGAUGCAGGAAGGCAUCUGAGCCCCUUAAGUAUUCCUUCCCGGUAUUUACUGAGGAGCUGCGAUGUGUUCCUGUCAGAUGAUCCUCAUUCCAUUCUAACAAUAACUCGAGAGGAUGUUCAACAGUGACUGCUAAAAUUAGAUGCCUGGAAAUCAGGGCUGAGUAAUUGUUGUGGAAGAGCUGGUAUGGGGAUUCUGCAUCCAGGAGACAGGGAGAGGCUUUGAAACAAAGAUCCGCUGCGCUGGGAGAAAGGUGGUGCAGAAGCAUGCUUCCAGAGCGAAGCAAAGGUGCUCCAGGUCUCCCUGCCUACCUUCAUUUCAAGGCAAAGCUAUAAAAUGGCUGACCCUGGGAUUCACUCGAAAUCACAAAGUUGUAGAAUGAUGCUGGUUGGAAGAAACCCCUGGAGGUCCAAGACAUAGGUCUUGCUCAAAGGUCAGUCAAGUUCAUGUAACUGUAGCAUCGUCAGCAUGAGCUCGGGAGUGAAAUCCAUGCUGGAAUGCCAACAACUUCAGCAUGUCCUGCAGGGUGGGAGGUGACCCGUAGCCUCCUGUGCUUGCCUUCAGUCCCGUUUCCUUCUCUGCACAGGCUGGGACUGGUUGUCACUUGUGGCUGUUUUCACUGGGGUAUGGAGAACAAAAUCUGCGAUGCACUUACUUAAACACGAUCUAUGGUUUGUGGUGGUUCUCAGUUUGCCUGCAGCGUGGUCGUUUCUGUCACAGCACAUCCAGUGCUGGCUCCUGCAGCUCCACAUGAGCUGGGACCAGUUCAGCAAAGAGCUUCUGGUCUCCUCAUGUGCAGUGGCCGUCACCCCAUGACCAGACCCCCGGAGUCGGCCUUCUUGCAUGGAGAAGCCUCUCCACGUUUCGCUGCUGCUCCCAGUGCUGGGGUCAGGAUGCACGGAGCCGACACCGGGAGCAGCUGUCCCAGUUUGUGGAAACUCUCUUGCCUUUUUAAGGCCAUGCCGAGUGCUGUGCUCUAACUUUAGCACAAAGGUUACCCUAAAGGAGCACGUACUGCUGAACAUAGCGCUCUGAGUGACUGCAGGAGCUGGGAUUAAGUGCUGGUUCCUCACGCUGUGCUUUCCUGCACCCGCUGGAUGGUGAUAAGCUGCUCUAAAAGGCUUGCUGGGUGCAUGAGCUCGCCCAGUCCCACAGUUGUAAUUUGGAGCAGAGCAAUUAAGGUUUUGGCUUACAACAAAGCUGGCACCUCUCUCUUCCCCCAGUGUUCUCUGUAGAUUUGCAUCCCCUACCACGUGCAGCAUCUCUCACAAUGGUGUGGCUGUCCUGCAAGCCAGCUCCUGCGGGCGCACUGAUAAAUCAUCUCGCUUUGGACAUGGUAGAGCUCUCCUUGCCCUGCUUGCCCAAUGCCCCCAGCUGGCACUGCUGUUUGGCCAAUGCUCAGACCUAGGAGCUCAUAUGCUUGCAUGUCAGUGCUUGUUUCUGGGGCAGUCUUGUAUGCAGUGCCUGAAACGUUAGCACCAGCAUGUGCAAUGUGCUUUGGGGGAAGCAUCCAUAGCUUUGUUCUCAGGCUGGAAAUCCCUCUCUCCAAAGGGAGCCAGCAGCUCCCCUGCUUUGUUUCCUUGGGAGAGCUAUUUUCUCCUCCAUGCUUGAAGAAACAUCACUGGCUGCUGCUGCCACCACACCACAGCCAGCUCAGCACAAGCUGGAGGCCAGAGGUGGCCAGAGGGUGGCCAAGUUGGGGCAAUGCCUGGGGUCUUUGUGGUGAUCCUGGUGUUGCGGUUUGUACAGAUCUCCUCCAGAUACAUUCCUCUAAGCUCUCAGGUUAGGAAACUCCCUCAGGAAUGCUACGAGCUUCAUUACAGCUUCUGCUAAAUCACUGGCCAACAUCACCGAAAUGUAUCUUGAAAACUUUGGACCUGGUGGCUUAGGGAUGCUGUUUGUGGAGCUACUGGGGUGAUCCCACAGGGAAAAUGCUGCUGGUGCAGCACAAAGGAGCACCUCCAACCACAGAGUGGAAAAGGCCUCACCAAAACCCUGGUGAGAAGAAAGCAGGGAAGAAAAGGGAAGAGUAAGAUCAGCAAAGGCUGGCACAGAGUCCUGACUGUUCAUGGUGGAGAGCUCGCCCUGGGAAAGGCUGCAUAGUGCUGGGUGUAUGGAUCAUGGUAAGUGAAAGGCAUGUGGACCUGCAGCUGGCAGGUGCUCCCCUCUACUGCACAUGUUUGACAGCUGGUCCGUGCCUCCUUCCUGUGUGGAUGUGAGGACAACUGGAAGGAUGUAGGGAAGAGAUCGGUUGCUGCCAGAGCAGCUUGUGGUGCCCCCA